GACACAGCCAACACAGAAAGAAAGGGAAAAGAUUCCAGAGACGUUCCAGCAUAAGGCCAUGCAGGGCUGGCUGGAGCUCGUGGGCAGGGGCUGCCGACCUCUGAGCUGGGUGUGCUGGGAGCCAGGGAUCACUGGGUGCCGGCCACAGAGGAGGGUCCCUGAGGACACAGUACCGAAGUCUGAUCCCAGAGGAGGAAGGAAGGUGGGCCGGGGAGAAGGUCUGAGUGCAGGGAUGGUCCAAGAGGAGGACUGGAAGCUGCAGGGGGCCGUGGACCCUCCUGGCCUGAAGCUCACUCCUUCCCCGCCUCCUACAGGGGCAGGGGAGCCAGGGCUGCGAGUUCUGUCUGUGGACUCUCAAUGGCUUUCACUCCUUCCCUAGGUAACUAUGGCUAAGAGACAGAAUAAUUUGAAAAUACGUUCUUUUUCCUCUUUAGCUGGAUGUCCCACAGAGAAAAUGGAAUAAAUGUCAUUUGGACUGAG
rnacentral:antisense_RNA from 1 species